CUGACAGUAGCAGACUGGUGACCAGAGAUGAUAUUCUAACAGCGGACUGUCUGUUCCAUGAGAACCAGGGACUACUGGACUGUGCCCGCAAUAAAGAAGCAGUCCGUACGAUUUGGAGCCAUCUGAAGAUACAGCCAAUGUUGCAGCUGGAACCACUAAAAGGCAAAGGAAUACCCAAUCAAUUGGCAGAGGAUGGAUGCCCGAAAAAGGGAAGAUGGGGG